GGUGCGGCUCAGGGAUACGAUGAUUCGGAGCACUGAAAUAAAAAUCAUUGGAACAAUAAUUACGUAAACCCUAAUUUUUGAUAAACCUAUGCCUACGUCCUAAAGAAUGGUUCUAGGAGAGGGAUUGAUUUCAGUCGUCAGUUGUGGUUCACAUCCAAUCAAUUAAAAAUUGUCGCGAAGCUCGAUGAACCAACGAUGGUGAUCUGUCUUAUUGUUGCUACUAUCUCUAUCAUCGGGAUCAUAUAAGAUCAGCAUCCUGGUAAGCCAGCUUUAGACUUUGAAGCAGUUGUUGGAGAUUUUGGAUUAGCAAAGCUCUUGGACCAACGUGACUUUCAUGUAAGCACAGCUAUUCGUGGAACUGUUGGGCACCCAACCCCUGAGUACUUAUCAACUGGAUAGUCAUCAGAUAAGACAGAUGUGCUCGGUUUUGGUAUCUUACUGUUAGAGCUGAUCACAGGUCAAAAGGCGCUAGAUUUUGGCCGAGCAGUGGACCAGAAAGGUUUAAUGCUUGAUUGGGUACCCUCUCCCUCUCUCUCUGCAAGUGUGCAAACGGGGCAAGCAUUCUUCGUUGACAUAAUUAAUCUUGAGUCUUUGACUCAAUUAUCUCAAGCACUGCUCUAUUUUAUCUAUAACAUCUUUAUUAAUUGUUGUAUCUAUUUUUUGAUAUUUCUCAUAAUCCGUUCUUUAUAUCGCUAUUGUGUUUUAUUUGUUUUCUAUUUUUAGUGAGGACAUCCAUUGUGCUCCAAAGGAACAUCAAGUGGCAUACUUCGGAGGUGUACGACAUUGUGUUCCAAAUUCAUAUCAGCUAAAGGUAGUACUUGGUACACUGUUUUUGAUUGUAUAUUCGUUCCACAUUGUCUAUUCUAACCCAAUCCUUGACCAUACCAUAAGAGGAAGUUCAAAGAGGUAUUCAGCGGCUUAUCAAGUUGUUCCGGAUAAUCUGGCUGAAAUUCUGUAACUUAGUAUUUCCUGUUUAUUAUUAUCUAAGGUGCAUUUUGGUUCGGGGUACCGGUAUCAAGAACUUAUACAUCAAGUGUAUUCCAGCAGGCGCCUACAUAAGUAAGAAGCCCCAAGGGCUGCUGGGAGCGCAAAUGUUCAGGUAGGUGUUGCUAGAGAUGGAGUUCCUAAAAUGAAGCGCUAAAGGUUUUCGAAAAUGGUGGGUUUUGCAAUACAUGGUUUUCUUCAGUUUAAGAUACUGGCUUUUGGUUGUUAAGUUUAGUUUUUUUCUUUGUACAUGAGGGAACAAUUUUACUGCUGCCUAAUUACUUCCCAUAUUCAACUUUAAA